rnacentral:rRNA from 2 species
AUGAACGCUAGCUACAGGCUUAACACAUGCAAGUCGAGGGGCAGCGGGAUUGAAGCUUGCUUCAAUUGCCGGCGACCGGCGCACGGGUGAGUAACGCGUAUCCAACCUUCCGUACACUCAGGGAUAGCCUUUCGAAAGAAAGAUUAAUACCUGAUGGUAUGAUGAGAUUGCAUGAUAGCAUCAUUAAAGAUUUAUCGGUGUACGAUGGGGAUGCGUUCCAUUAGGUAGUAGGCGGGGUAACGGCCCACCUAGCCAACGAUGGAUAGGGGUUCUGAGAGGAAGGUCCCCCACAUUGGAACUGAGACACGGUCCAAACUCCUACGGGAGGCAGCAGUGAGGAAUAUUGGUCAAUGGACGAGAGUCUGAACCAGCCAAGUAGCGUGAAGGAUGAAGGUCCUACGGAUUGUAAACUUCUUUUAUAAGGGAAUAAACCCUCCCACGUGUGGGAGCUUGUAUGUACCUUACGAAUAAGCAUCGGCUAACUCCGUGCCAGCAGCCGCGGUAAUACGGAGGAUGCGAGCGUUAUCCGGAUUUAUUGGGUUUAAAGGGAGCGCAGACGGGUCGUUAAGUCAGCUGUGAAAGUUUGGGGCUCAACCUUAAAAUUGCAGUUGAUACUGGCGUCCUUGAGUGCGGUUGAGGUGUGCGGAAUUCGUGGUGUAGCGGUGAAAUGCUUAGAUAUCACGAAGAACUCCGAUUGCGAAGGCAGCACACUAAUCCGUAACUGACGUUCAUGCUCGAAAGUGUGGGUAUCAAACAGGAUUAGAUACCCUGGUAGUCCACACGGUAAACGAUGGAUACUCGCUGUUGGCGAUAUACUGUCAGCGGCUUAGCGAAAGCGUUAAGUAUCCCACCUGGGGAGUACGCCGGCAACGGUGCAACUCAAAUGAAUUGACGGA